ACGACGAUAAGAAAGAAACACGCGAAGAAGAAGAAAGAGGAGAAACACGAAGAAGGAGAAGAAGAAGAAGGAGGAGGAGAGAGAGAGGGAUGCAGAAACAUUCACAAAGUUAGAGGCACAACCAACUUCGAGUGUAUAUCAAAGUUUUAGCUAUUAAUGGUGACAAAGAGCUGCAAAAGACAUCAAACACACGUCCACCAGUGCUAAAUAAUGAUUCAGAAGCAACAGUUGAAACCGAAAUGCCUCAAAUAUCACGAACUAUGAGAGAAAGAAUUCUGUAUUUUGGGGCAUUCACUUUUCACCAGAUCAAUAUAUCAAAAUUUUCAUCUCCCAAAGUAUUCUCGGCUAGAUAUCUCUCCACAUCUCACUUGCUAUCUGCAUUAGUCUUCUCUCUCUUUUGUUUUUUUCACAUAUUCACUCUAUUUUCUGAAACGUCCUUAUUGGCACCAACUGAGACUUUAAUAUUGUCAUCUAAAACAUCUCUAAAUGAAUCUCCAUCAUCCUCCCUUCUUUUAUUGUCUACAACUAACCUCUUUUUUAUAAAACUUAUACAAAAUAUCCAAUGUGAGUUUAACAAAAUUAGUCAUGCUAAUAGACAUUUCUUUGUCAUAAACAUCCUCCAAAUACCAACAGAGAUAAUCUAAUUUAUACUGAAGAUCCAAUACUAUAGCAACAAGUAACAAUGGAUUAAAUUUGCCAACUAGUUUUCAAUAUUUAUCAUAUUUAUCUUUCAUAGAACAUGUCAUAGUUUCUAAUAAUUUAGAAUGAUUUUGACUCCAAGACGUUAAUUGAGAAGUGACAAAUGCAAUUUCAUGAAAACAUUUGUUUGAUGUAAUAUGUAAGGAAGAUGAGAAACUCAAAAUUAUUUUGUAGAAGAUUCUCAAAAAUUCAAUGAAUAAUCUAGCAUGUUAUCAAUAAAGCAGUAUAGGUGGACCAACUUUUUUUUUUUUCUCACUAUCCUCUCCAAACCAUCUAAAAAAAUUAGAUUUUUUAUCAUAAAGUCUAUCAAAAAUUUUUUCAAAUUUAAUAUUAGAUAGGUAGAAUUCCAUCUAGUUAGAACAUCCAAACACACAAGACUUUUAGAUUCAAUAAUCAACUCAGUCUUAAUGUAGUCUUUAAAUUUUUUUAAUUCUUUGAGGAGAGGACCAAACAUACCUGACAACAUUUGUAAUGCUUUCAUCAAUUGAAGUUUGUUGUUCUUUAAUUUCUUCAUUCAUCAUCAAAUUAAGAACAUGAACACAAUAUCUCACAUGCAUAUACUUUUUUUCACACACCAACCUACUUCUGGCACUAAUUUCCUUUAAAGGUAAGUAAUAGCCCCAUCAUUCGAACUUACAUUAUUUAAUAUUCAUAAGUUCCAAUAUUAUAAUUCCUAAUCAGAAUAAUAACUAUUUAUCUGAACUUGAGCAGAGGUCAGAGAAGAGAAGAAGAAGACCAGUAGUAGAGAAGAAGAGGACGACCAGGGGCAAUUCCAUUGUGACCGUCUGACUGAGAGAGAAAAAACAGUCGUCGUCGUUGAGGGUUAGAGAAGCGCUAUCGCACUUCGCGUUCGUCAUCGACAAUGCAACACCGUUGUGACUCUGAAGCUGGUGAGUGAUGACGGGCACCGUGACAAUGAUUGGUGAGAGAUAGAGAGAAGACUGAGAAGGAAAGGGUGAUGACGGCUGGCGAGAGGUAAAGAGAGAGUUAAGAUAGGAAGGAUGGCGGCGCCGUUUUCGUAGGGGGACUGAAGGUGUGUGGCUGUGUCUUAUGGUGCUGAGAGAAGAGGGUUGUGUGCUCCUUGUGCACUGCGAAGUGCAAACUAAGCAUGUGCCGUAAAGUGUUUAGCCUCUAGUAAUAUGAAUUACCAGGCCAGAUUUGAAUGACUCAAAUUAUGGCCCGAUUCGAGUUUAAUUUCUUUGUCAGGUUUUAUUUCUUUUUUCUGGGUCAGUCCCGAGCCAACAUGACCCAAAUUGCUUUAAACUCGAACCGGAUCUUUGAGCCGGUCUGCAUUAUGUACACGCUACGUUGCUUGGUAUUUACAAAAGGCUAAUAACGGUAGACAUUGUUGUUA